UACGGGGGGGGCAAGCGUUGUUCGGAAUUACUGGGCGUAAAGGGCUCGUAGGCGGCCAACUAAGUCAGACGUGAAAUCCCUCGGCUUAACCGAGGAACUGCGUCUGAUACUGGAUGGCUUGAAUCCGGGAGAGGGAUGUGGAAUUCCAGGUGUAGCGGUGAAAUGCGUAGAUAUCUGGAGGAACACCGGUGGCGAAGGCGGCAUCCUGGACCGGCAUUGACGCUGAGGAGCGAAAGCGUGGGGAGCGAACAGG
rnacentral:rRNA from 1 species